rnacentral:ncRNA from 1 species
UAAUUCGCCUGUGGUGAUUUGGCCGGCCGGCUUGCAGCCACGUAAAACAAGUCGCUAAAAGGCCGCGGACGAGACACU